AAGAUCCUUUUCUUCUUUCUUCAUCUUAUGCCUAAUAUCCACCAGUGCUGUUGGGUUAUUUAACCCUUAUGAUUGUGACACAAUGAUUCCUUCAGUUCAAAAUCAAACUGUAAUAUCUGCUGUAGAGACCGAGGAUUUCGCAGAAUCACCCCCAGCAGAAUAUUAAGAUAUCUUACUGUCUCCAAGUGUGGUGAUUGUAGACGACCACAUAAGUGAAGCAAGAGUAAAGACAACACAACCUAAUAAUAAAGAUGUUGUGACAAAGGAUUGGGGAGAUUACACACCACAAUUGUUGAGGACUCCGGUGUCACAGGCACUCAAAAUUGAUGGUGCAGUAGAUAAAAAUACUCCUGUGACUGAUAAUAAUUAAUAAAGCAAACGUAAUUGAGAAGAAACUAAAUCACGAGACCUUGGUUUCUAGGAGGAGGCCACUCCAUUCAAAUACGGCUUCUUCUUUGGAACAGCUUUAUAAAAAGAAGAUAGAA